CCUACGGGAGGCAGCAGUGAGGAAUAUUGGUCAAUGGGCGGAAGCCUGAACCAGCCAAGUAGCGUGCAGGAUGACGGCCCUACGGGUUGUAAACUGCUUUUAUACGGGAAUAACGCGCCUUACGUGUAGGGUUUUGCAUGUACCGUAUGAAUUAGGACCGGCUAAUUCCGUGACAGCAGCCGCGGUAAUACGGUAGGUCCGGGCGUUAUCCGGAUUUAUUGGGUUUAAAGGGAGCGUAGGCCGCAUUGCAAGCGUGCUGUGAAAUGUCCGGGCUCAACCCGGGCCUUGCAGCGCGAACUGGCGUGCUUGAGUCCGCGGAAGGCAGGCGGAAUUCGACGUGUAGCGGUGAAAUGCUUAGAUAUGACGAAGAACCCCGAUUGCGAAGGCAGCUUGCUGCAGCGGAACUGACGCUGAUGCUCGAAAGCGCGGGUAUCGAACAGGAUUAGAUACCCUUGUAGUC
rnacentral:rRNA from 1 species